CUACGGGUCGCAGCAGUGAGGAAUAUUGCACAAUGGGGGAAACCCUGAUGCAGCAACGCCGCGUGGAGGAUGACGCAUUUCGGUGUGUAAACUCCUUUUAUGAGUCAAGAAAAUGACGGUAGCUCGUGAAUAAGCACCGGCUAACUCCGUGCCAGCAGCCGCGGUAAUACGGAGGGUGCAAGCGUUACUCGGAAUCACUGGGCGUAAAGGACGCGUAGGCGGGCUUGUAAGUCAGGUGUGAAAUCCUACAGCUUAACUGUAGAACUGCACUUGAAACUACGAGCCUAGAGUAUGGGAGGGGCAGAUGGAAUUAGUGGUGUAGGGGUAAAAUCCGUAGAUAUCACUAGGAAUACCGAAAGCGAAGGCGAUCUGCUGGAACAUUACCGACGCUAAGGCGUGAAAGCGUGGGGAGCAAACGGGAUUAGAUACCCCUGUAGUC
rnacentral:rRNA from 1 species